AUGGUCGGCAUGCACAACCAGGUGGGAACCAUUUCAGUGGGGCCAGUUCCGGUUACCAGGCUCCAUUGACUUGGAGUGGAGCUAGAGGUGCUCCUCAUUAUCACAUCACCGGAGAGCAACUGAGGGGUCUGAUGAUAGAUGGCAGAUAUUCUCCACAUGUUCCAUUCUACACUCAAACCACAUCUAAGGCACUUUGCAUUAACCUGAGGGCAGCUGCCUUCCCAUCAAUGUUGCAGAGGCUGCACAGAAGGUACAGUGUUGCUGCUCUGAAUUCUUUAUGACACAUCGAUGGAAACUACAGACUAAAGGUGGAGGAUAGUCAUCCAUGGUGGCAUUGAUGGUUACAGCUGCCUUGUGUUUCUCCACGCUUUCAGCAACAAGUGCAGCAUUACUAAAUGCUGAG